UACGAAGGGUGCAAGCGUUGCUCGGAAUUAUUGGGCGUAAAGGGUAGGUAGGUGGUAAUAAAGUCUGGGGUGAAAUCCUGAGCUCAACUCAGGACGUGCCUUGGAAACUUUAUUACUAGAGUGCUGGAGAGGUUCGCAGAAGUUCCGGUGUAGCGGUGAAUGCGUAGAGAUACGGAGGAAUACCAGAGGCGAAGGCGGCGAACUGGACAGCAACUGACACUCAACUACGAAAGCGUGGUAGCA
rnacentral:rRNA from 1 species